rnacentral:lncRNA from 1 species
UUGCUGCACUGAGAGGAAAUGCAGGAGCAAAGAGAUAUACAAUCUGGUCAAAAGCUUUUGAAAAUGUUUUGGAAAAGAAAUAAUUGCUACCCUUUCAUAAGCUGUUCCUCACUCCAAGGAUUUGGUUCUCCUCUGUGCUACUGUGGUUUUAAAAAGAAGCAGAGAACUCGUCAUUCGGCCAAGAAACUACAGCACAGACAAUCGAGGCGGCACAGCACUAAGGCAGUGGAAUUCUUUUAAAAAAGCCCUUUCUGUAAGAUAGUCCUGGCCCCUCUUCCCUCUCCGUCCUGGGAUGGCCUGGCCAGUUGCCUGCACUUCAGCGCACUUCCCCGUUUUUUUUUUUUUUUUUAACUUCUCCUGGGCCGAGCCAUGUCAGCUGUGUAAGCCAUAUUUCCUAUGCGAGUGCCUGCCUCGUUGCUCAGCGUUACAAUCUGUGCAACAGCAGGGCUAGAAGUCAACAGAAAGGACCGGAGCUGUUUGCAAAUGAUGUCUCUCUCUCAUAUGCUUUUAAACUACAAAAGCAGUUGCAACACCAAUGCCAUGCUGGCAUGAACUUGGCUCCCUGGACCAUCUUGUUUCUGACUGUUCUGGCAGAAUUCUGGUUUCUGGCAACGUGAGCCUCGGGAGUGGGUCUGGGGCACUAUGGGCAUAUGUGCUUUGGACUGUGUGCUGAGUCAGAGGAGGCAAUUGCAGUCCCCGGCUGCUUGCUGUUGUUUCAGUUUGUCACUGAACAGAGCUGAUUUUCCUUGUCUCUCAGGACCCAGCAGAGCAGAGACAUCCUAACCUUCCCUCUGAUGAUCUUAGCUGCUCUACAGUCUCCUUCUCCAUGAUUUGUAUAGUAGCCAACAGGGAAAUACAUUAACUGUCAUUUCUGUAUUAUUUAUAACUUGCUGGAUGAGUGGGAAAUUGCUACCUACUCAGUUUGCCAGGCAGAACGUAUUGCUAGGUCUUUGGCACAGCACAUGAGAGCACAUCUCAAAUUUGGGAUCUGGGUGUGUGCCCUGGGGAUCCCAUCACAGGCAGACGUCCUUCUCCUCCCUCUCCCAACCUAUCCCAUGGUUUCCACACACAGGAAAUUAGGGCACAAGCUUUGGGAGCUAUGGCACAUCCAGAGGAUGUGCUGCUCUGGGCUCCUCUAGUUGCAAAAGCCCAGCAGGUAUUUGCAUGUAUGGACGCAUGUGCAGGGAGAUACCGGAGAGCUGGCCAUCAUUACUCAAACCUAUGCUAACUCUUACAUAUUGAGGAGGUCAGUGGCACUAAGAAAUUUGAAAAGAGUCCUGGAACUGGGUAUAUAAUACUUUUAAACACACUGAACUAUUGCUUAUACCGCUUUUAGUGCCUCAGGGACAGUCCUCACCCUCAUGCUGGUUGGAACCAAAUGCAGUGCAGCACAGAGGGCACCGAGCUAGCUCCAAACUACUGCCAAUGUAUGCAGGAUACGAGCCCCGUGCACUAUGCAGUGAGGGUGUGCUGCUCUUCACUGCUGUUUCUGUUGAUAUCCCGCAAAGGACUUCCAAAAAUCACUGAGUCAAGCUAGAAGCACCCUUCUGUCACGGAGAAGCAACUUCAAACUACUUAGCUGAGUUAAAAAUUAUUAUCAAACUUGUGAGAUGGGAC